rnacentral:rRNA from 1 species
GACGAACGCUGGCGGUGUGCUCAACACAUGCAAGUCGAGCGGAAAGGCCCUUUCGGGGGUACUCGAGCGGCGAACGGGUGAGUAACACGUGAGUAAUCUGCCCUUGGCUUUGGGAUAACCACCGGAAACGGUGGCUAAUACCGGAUAUGACGCGCCCCGGCAUCGGGGUGUGUGGAAAGUUUUUUCGGCCAGGGUUGUGCUCGCGGCCUAUCAGCUUGUUGGUGGGGUAAUGGCCUACCAAGGCUUCGACGGGUAGCCGGCCUGAGAGGGUGACCGGCCACACUGGGACUAAGAAACGGCCCAGGCACCUACGGGAGGCAGCAGUGGGGAAUAUUGGACAAUGGGCGGAAGCCUGAUCCAGCAACGCCGCGUGGGGGAUGACGGCCUUCGGGUUGUAAACCUCUUUCAGUACCGACGAAGCGCCGAUGAUGGUGGUGACGGUAGGUACAGAAGAAGCACCGGCCAACUACGUGCCAGCAGCCGCGGUAA